CAGAUACCUGAUGAGCAUAAUUCAACAACUCGAUGGAGGAAGAUCAGAGGUUUUAGCAGGAUUUUGGGUUCUCUUAAAAACCCUACUGCCAAAAAACAGGAACCCCAGAGUAUGCCCAGCCACAGCAGCCAGGAACACGCCGCCAUUGAAAGACAUGAUAGCCAACAUGACCAUAUAGGCUAAACCAACCCGCAAAGCGUGCAGUAGAGUCUGGACUAGACCAGCCGCCACAUGGUUCGAGCCAGGCUUCAUCAAUUGGCAAUGGGAUAGCCACUCGACAAGAAUGGAAAGCACAAAAACAAACAGCAAAGCCACAAAAUACAUGUGUGGUCUCUUAUCAGAGCUUCCAGGCCAGCCAGAGAAGAGAAUUUCAGUACUCUUCCCCCAAAAGAAGGUCAUGUGCAUCAUCAUCAUCUCGUGGUGUUGCAUCGUUCCUGCCAUGUUCAUGGGCGGCGGUGGAGCCAUGCCCCCCAUGCCCCCCAUGCCCGGCAUAUCAUGACCAUGUUCCAUGAUC
rnacentral:lncRNA from 1 species